rnacentral:rRNA from 1 species
AGUGAACGUUGGCGGUAGGCCUAACACAUGCAAGUCGAACGGCAGCACAGUAAGAGCUUGCCCUUACGGGUGGCGAGUGGCGGACGGGUGAGGAAUACAUCGGAAUCUACUUUUUCGUGGGGGAUAACGUAGGGAAACUUACGCUAAUACCGCAUACGACCUACGGGUGAAAGCAGGGGAUCUUCGGACCUUGCGCGAUUGAAUGAGCCGAUGUCGGAUUAGCUAGUUGGCGGGGUAAAGGCCCACCAAGGCGACGAUCCGUAGCUGGUCUGAGAGGAUGAUCAGCCACACUGGAACUGAGACACGGUCCAGACUCCUACGGGAGGCAGCAGUGGGGAAUAUUGGACAAUGGGCGCAAGCCUGAUCCAGCCAUACCGCGUGGGUGAAGAAGGCCUUCGGGUUGUAAAGCCCUUUUGUUGGGAAAGAAAAGCAGCAGGUUAAUACCCCGCUGUUCUGACGGUACCCAAAGAAUAAGCACCGGCUAACUUCGU